CCCGUCCCCCCCCCCGUCCCCCCCUCCGCUUGAUGAGGUCUAAAAAACGUAGAGCUCACUUCGCUCACCACCUCUCCAGUCAACCCAUACCGGUCUCGUUACUCGCAAGCUCGCUUAUUUCAAGACUUCCUUUGCGAGCUUCUGGCUUCGCGACUUACAAAAACUAGGGCUAGGCAGGCCGUAGGACAGACAAGCUGCCCGGGUGCUGCAGGUUUUGUUCUGGACCAUAGAUAUUUCCUACUCAGUGUUCCGGACCGAUUUCGACCUCAUUGUAUUUCAUCGACGAUUAUAUUAUCUAGGUAUGCUAUUAUUAUCGCCCGAAUGGUAACGGCACUAACCGUAACAAGCACCACUUUUAACGUCAACCCUUACUCCGGGUUAAAAGCAGCUUAUGUCCGUUUCCAUGAUGCCAGCUAUCUCUGUACUUGCCUAACGUCAAAAUCGAUUAACAGAGAGACAGACACGCUUUCACAGUCAAACAAUAUUAGUAGGCAUUGAAUAUACCUAGUGUCGAAUCCAUUUGAACGUUAUGACUUAUGUGCGAGUUACUCAUUUAGUUCCAUUUAGUUACUCGUAAUUCGUAAAUCAUUGUUUAGCUGUUAAGCCUUAUUUUCAUGUACCUACUUAAGUACCUAUGAUGUAUGAACUGACAUCUAGACCAUGCAUCUAGACUGGCUUUUAUGCACCUAAAUAAGUACCUAUUAUAUAUUAUGAGAA